UCUUUUUACGCACAAAUCUCCUGAGCGCAUCGGGCACACCUUAGAGCAUAUUUACCCCUUGGAUGGAAGAUAAGGACAUUCAUCACAUUCCUAUAAUAAGAGCGUUGUUCUGUACCUGAACGAACCGGCUCUGCUGCUCCUUCACGUCUGAUGAGCAACAACAGCUGCAAAAAGUCGGUUUUUUUUCUUCAAGUCUGAGAAAAUUCCCACGGUUCUCUCAUCCACUGUGGAGCUGAACAGGGGUCCAAACACAGGAUCCAGAGAGUAAGACGAAAUGCGCACUGAAUAUCUGCAAAGGAGAGAGAGAAUGGAGAGAGAGGAGACGUUGAGAGAGAAAAGGAGAGAGAGAGAGAAAAGGAGAGAGAGAGAGAAAAGGAGAGAGAGAGACAGGCGCAAACUGCAAAAGGUGAAAUAUGUGGUCGGUUCCAUUUUCCUCUCAGUCUCCAUGUCAGCACGAAAGGAGGAUUCAGUCUCCUCUCAACAUCAGAACUGUUGUUCCAUCCACGUAGGAUCCCAACUUGAGAUAGAAAUUGAUUAUCCGAAACGAGCUCGUGUCAAGGAGAGAGAACUGAGCUCAAUCACAUGCAGACGUGCUCUGGUGGCUUCAGAGACACUCAUCACUCAGUCUGUGGCAGAGGAUGACAGAAACCACCCCAUGUCUCACCAGAUGACGGCAGACUGCAGGAGGAGAUGCAGAUCACAGCCUGUUUGGCAGUUGGGACACUUUUACUAAGGAAGUGUACACCCUUGAGGCUGCUGCAGUUUAAACAAUAACUAUAUUAAUGAGACGAACAUACAACAAUGAAGUAUCUUCCGGAGUUCUUCUGUUUCGUGAGUACUAAAACAAAUAAAACAGCCUCUCUCCUAACAGCUCAGGCCCAGGCAGCUGCCUUCCUCCAGCUAUGGCUCCCCCUAGCCGUGCCUCCAUGUUUCCUUGUUAAUGCACACCAUAAUGCCCUGACCCACCCUGAUCUAUUACACAGCAAAUACACCAAAAUAUACCUCAUUUUCUUCGUCUAAAUGUGUAGUAUAUAACCUCCAUCUGCCUCUAAGCCAACAUUAGGCAGCAUUGGUAACAGCAGAAGAGAGGAUUUCUUACCUUUUGAGAGUGGCUAUGGUUAAACCUCCCUCUCCAAAGUCUCUACUUCGACAGCCUCCUUCUUCUUCCCAGCAAUCCCUGCAAAAAAGGACACUUCCAUGUAAGUUGAACAUGUAGGGGUGAUCAAAUUGAACUUGACUCAUUUGUAAGAGCCCAGAAAGACCUCAAAACCCAGGAAUGGCCAUUUUGGAACCAAAUAGAAAUAUUCUCCAUAUUUAAAUUUUAAAAUGGCAUGUUAAUGGCAUUAAACAGCAAAACCCACUCCUCAAAUAUACCAUGUACCACCCCUAUGUUUUCCACUUAUUAUGGUCCAUCCAGUAGUCAUACAGUUGAUACUGAAGGGCGAUUGUUAGUUGGUGCGCAGCUGAACUCUCAGGCGCAUUUUGCUGCCUGUUGUGCGUUUGCCAAGCCCCAGAGCGUCUUGUAGAGCCUAGAAAUAGACCAUUGGUUGUAUUUAUGAAUCAAUUGGACCCUUUUCUUGUUAACUGGACCAAAACAACUGGAAGAAAAAUAUUUUCAUGAGCGUAGAAUCCAACCAGCCAAAGGGAGCUCUUUGGAUCCAAAUGGACUUCUCCAAAAGUGCACAGGUGCAUCCAAAGGCAGAGAGCCCUUAAAGGCUUCAGGAGGGAAAACAACUGGUGGCAGGAGGAGCGCUUUGUUGACAUCAAUAACGAUCUCUGCAGGCAGUGAGUAUACACAGCACAAGAGAGAGGUGUGGGUACAAAUACGGACUAUUAACGUUAAUUAUAUUGAAGGCCUAUUUGGGUAAAAUAUAUAGCACUGAGCAUAGGCUACUGUAUUGUUGUAAUUGACAUUACACAAGCCUAAUAUUGUCUGAUUUCAUUAAAUGUGUGAAUAUUUUAAAAUUAAAAUAAAUAUAUGGAAAUACUGUUUGUCUUUAUUGUGCGGAAUUUCCAGAAAAAGAUACAAAGAAAGCUUUAUUUAAUCAGGGGUCAUUUUGCUUAUUUUUUUAUCUGAAGUGGCCAUGUUGCCACAGAAGCUGUUACAUUAGUACAUUAGUUUUAGAGGGCCUCAGAAUGUAUGUAUUCAAUCAUAUGAUAGUAAAAAAAAGUAAUGGUAUGAUAUGUUAAAAGUAUAGUACAUUUCUACUGAUAUUGUCGACAUAUACUAUCAAGUAAGUAAGUAAGACAUACUAUGUUUUUUUUAAUAUAUAUAUAUUCCACAUACUAUACGUUUUUUUUUCAGAUAUUUUCAACAUACUAUACUAAGACUUUUUUUCCGGCAAUUUAAGCUAUGUUUUUUUGUCAUUUAUUCUACAUAUGAUACCAUCAUUUAUUUUUGUUUAAAUUAUUAGAAACACUAUACUAUACGUUUUUGUUUUUUUUAAGUUGUGACAUACUAUACUUUGGCCUUUUCAUUAUGUUUUUGACAUACUAAUCUAUAACUUAAUUCAACAUGCUAUAUUACUUUUCUCACAUUUUCAUAUUUUUUGACAUGCUUUCCUUUUAUAAUUGUCUCAUAUUUCUGUGCCACUAUCCUAUAACAUCCUGUAGCCUACUACUUUCUUUCCUCUCUUUCGACACUAUACUCGGUCGUUUUAUCUGAUAAUUCACUUAUUCACAUCCUAAAAAAGCCAGUGAAGUAUGUCCUCAUUAGACAAGUCUUUUAGAAAUGUCAAAAUAUUGUACAGCAUGCCAUUAAAAGACUAUUGAACAAUUGCAUUUAAAUUAUGUUUAAAAAAAAAUAAGCAAACAAACUAGUCUUCCAGUA